rnacentral:lncRNA from 1 species
AAAAAAAUUAAAGGUAGGCGCCACUCCUAGUGGCGACUUGCCCUACCCUUAAGGGUAGGUGCCAACUAGGGUGGCGCCCAAGACAAAAAUAGGGCAAAAAAUGCCCAUUUUUGUAAUUUUUUUGAAAAUGGGGGUAUUUUUGGGAUUUUUUUUUUAAAAUUAUAUAUUUAAAAAAAAACUUCUAAUUAAUGAAGUAUAAUGCUUAUGAAGGGGAAAAUGGAGUAUAAAGA